ACGAACGCUGGCGGCGUGCUUAACACAUGCAAGUCGAACGGAAAGGCCCCUUUGGGGGUACUCGAGUGGCGAACGGGUGAGUAACACGUGAGUAACCUGCCCUUGACUUCGGGAUAACUUCAGGAAACUGGGGCUAAUACCGGAUAGGAAUCCUUGCUGCAUGGUGGGGGUUGGAAAGCUUCGGCGGUUUUGGAUGGACUCGCGGCUUAUCAGCUUGUUGGUGGGGUAGUGGCUUACCAAGGCUUUGACGGGUAGCCGGCCUGAGAGGGCGACCGGCCACAUUGGGACUGAGAUACGGCCCAGACUCCUACGGGAGGCAGCAGUGGGGAAUAUUGCACAAUGGGCGGAAGCCUGAUGCAGCAACGCCGCGUGCGGGAUGACGGCCUUCGGGUUGGAAACCGCGUUCAGCAGGGGCGAAGCUUGUGGUGACGGUACCUGCAGAAGAAGCACCGGCUAACUACGUG
rnacentral:rRNA from 1 species